UACGGGAGCAGCAGUGGGGAAUAUUGCACAAUGGGCGCAAGCCUGAUGCAGCCAUGCCGCGUGUAUGAAGAAGGCCUUCGGGUUGUAAAGUACUUUCAGUCGUGAGGAAGGUGUUAAGGUUAAUAACCUUAGCAAUUGACGUUAGCGACAGAAGAAGCACCGGCUAACUCCGUGCCAGCAGCCGCGGUAAUACGGAGGGUGCGAGCGUUAAUCGGAAUUACUGGGCUAAAGGGCACGCAGGCGGUUAAUUAAGUUGGAUGUGAAAUCCCCGGGCUUAACCUGGGAAUGGCAUUCAAGACUGGUUAGCUAGAGUCUUGUAGAGGGGGUAGAAUUCCAUGUGUAGCGGUGAAAUGCGUAGAGAUGUGGAGGAAUACCGGGUGGCGAAGGCGGCCCCUGGGACAAAGGACUGACGCUCAUGUGCGAAAGCGUGGGGAGCAAACAGGAUUAGAUACC
rnacentral:rRNA from 1 species